CACCCGUAACAAACUUGGAUAUUUCACCAAAACCACAAUGAAACUAGCCUAAGAAUAUGCAAGUAAUGACACAUUGAUUGUUGAGCGUAACCAAGACUAGGUAUCACAUCAAUAUAUAUGUGUCUGUCAGAAUCGUGUGCGUUUGCUAUUAAUGAAUUAUCCUCUAUAUUUAUUCUUAGUAGUGUGCAUGACGUGCUAGCUAACCCGGAGAGGACAAAGGCGCCAAUGAACGAAGAAACGGAGGCCUGGUUGAGGAAUUCCAAAUGGGAACUUAUUCCAUGAACCUAAGAAGAAAGAACAAUAACAUGAUGCAAAUGAGUGUUCAUAAUAAAAUUCAAUGUGAAUGGUAGCACUUGUAGAUACAUAGCCUACAAUAUAAGUGUAUAAGCUAGUUUAUAUACACAAUCCAGUGAAGAAUAUAUGAAUGCAAUUUCUCAAAUCUUAACAUACUUGGAUUUUGCUCUAAAAGAGGGAUUAUUAUUUCUAAAAGGUGAUCUUAACAUCAAAGGAUAUUCGACAUUGAUUGGGUAGAUACCAAGCAAAUAGAAGAUCUACUUUUAGAUAUUUCAUGUAAACAUAGUAGGAAAUUUGGUAACUUAAAAGAUCAAGAAAUAGAAAUCGGUGGCUAGAUCGAGCGUAGAGGUAGAAUCUUAAGGCAUGACCCAUAGGGUGUUCGAGUUAUUAAGAUUGUUCUAAACGUGAUUAAUUAUUGAUAUUAAUAGUAAGUAUGAAGUAAAACUACAAAUUAUGUGGUUGCUGCACAAGCACUCUUUCAAGUAAACUUUAGUUAGCAUUGCCGACGAAAGAAAAGUACGUGAAUAGCGGUGAUGUGUGAUUAAUAAGAAGGCAACUUCAAUGAUGAGAUGUAUAAGCAAUAAGGAAGGAGGAGGGCAUUUAUCUCCAAUUCCCUUGUCUCAAUUAGUCAAUAUCUUUCAGCUGGAGGGCACUUGCCGUCCAAGUUUACAAGUAUUUUAUCCAUUACAGAUUUAAACAUCAGAUAUAAAGAUGUGAAAUUCCCAUGAUUUUUUUUUUAAUUCAGGAGAGGGGGGGUUCUAAUACUGGACCCCCAUUGAAAUUAAAAAUAUCCAUGCCUCCAUUUUUUGAUAAAAAAAAACUAUGGCUUUGAAUAUAAAAGCUGAGCCUAACCCUCUCUUCCUUAAUGGCAACACUGCUUCAUAACCAAUUAGGGACCAUUGUUUUCAGUGCUUAUAAUUAAUAACUAAUUAAACUAUCUAAUCACACAAACUAAUGCCACCCAUAACUGGCAACAGUACCCCAUAAUUAAGAAGCCAGCUGAUAAGCUAAACUACAGCCUGCCUAUGGGCAGCAUAAAUGCAUUAACCCCAUAUCUUCACAACUAGUCAAGCAUGUGUAUCCAUGUGUCCAUCAGUGCAUGAAAACCUCCACUCUUACUUGACCCUUUAAAAUUCCUACUCUCUCCUCCAUUUUGCCCCCUUCAGAGAGAGAGAGAGAGAGAGAGAGAGAGAGAUGGGGAGCAACUCAAUCCUCUAGUUUUCUGUAGCUAGGCUCUCUCUUGGGUUUCUCUAUCCUAUGCAUCCUUCAUCUCCAAGAGUAAGAGCUGGAGAGGGAAAUAAUGAAAGCCCAUAUCAAAUAAUAAAAACACACAAAAAAAAAUGGAUGUCUAUGGAGGAGUCUCUACCAGCGCACCUGAUUAUUUUCUCAUUGAUGACCUUUUAGACUUCUCUAAUGAUGACCUUCUCACCUCCUCCACCGACCACCACCACCUUCCUCCACCUGAAACCUCCUC
rnacentral:lncRNA from 1 species